rnacentral:tRNA from 1 species
GCGGACGUGGCGAAACCGGUAGACGCAGCAGACUUAAAAUCUGCUUCCCUUGAUGGGAGUGCGGGUUCGAGUCCCGCCGUCCGCACCA